rnacentral:rRNA from 1 species
AUGCAAAAGAAGAAUUGUUCUCAGGAUGCUAUUGAAACUUCAAUGGAGCAACAGAACGCGAAUAAAAUAUUGGAGAAGAGUAACCUAUUAUGCCAUGGUAAAGGAAGUAAUGCAGAUAAGGUUCAAGAUAGUGAGACAUCCCCGUUGGUCUCCAAGAAAGCUGACAAAAACUAUAUUGAAGACACUGAGACAACCCCAAAGUCCUGUCUUGAUGUAGUGCUCGAGUUACUGGCUACUACUGCUGGCACCAGCUCUUCAAACUUGCUGCUUGAAUCAGUUCGGCUUCUUGAGUCUCAACUUCAAGUUGAAAGACAUCGAUUAGAUAUUAUGUGA